rnacentral:rRNA from 1 species
GAUUCUGGCUCAGGACGAACGCUGGCGGCGUGCCUAACACAUGCAAGUCGAGCGAGGAGAUCCUUCGGGAUGAUCCUAGCGGCGGACGGGUGAGUAACACGUGGGCAACCUGCCUCAUAGAGAGGAAUAGCCUUCCGAAAGGGAGAUUAAUACCUCAUAACAUUGCAGUUUCGCAUGGAACAGCAAUUAAAGGAGUAAUCCGCUAUGAGAUGGGCCCGCGGCGCAUUAGCUAGUUGGUGAGGUAACGGCUCACCAAGGCGACGAUGCGUAGCCGACCUGAGAGGGUGAUCGGCCACAUUGGGACUGAGACACGGCCCAGACUCCUACGGGAGGCAGCAGUGGGGAAUAUUGCACAAUGGGGGAAACCCUGAUGCCAGCAACGCCGCGUGAGUGAUGACGGCCUUCGGGUUGUAAAGCUCUGUCUUCAGGGACGAUAAUGACGGUACCUGAGGAGGAAGCCACGGCUAACUACGUGCCAGCCGCCGC